UUCACUCACAUUUUAUUAUAAAACUAAUAUAUAUAAGUGGAACUCAUAUUCUACUAACUUAUUCAAUCUAUUUUUCUUUACAUUUCCUAAAACUCGUGUCAUAACUAAAUAUGACUCCUAUUGCGGGACGCAUGGAGUAUUUUCGCAAAGUUCGCGGAACAAAAAAUAUGUUCUCUUAAUAUUUUAAUGAAGAAAAGAGAGUAAAUAGACUGAAAUACUUUUUAUGGCUUAAGGGUAUUUUCACCCAAAAAUAUUUGAAACAAUAAAAAAAUAGAUCAAAUGAUAUUAAAUCGAAGUUCAUAGACCUCAAAAGAUAUUUUCAAAUGUUACGGAAGUUUGCGGACCAAAAAAAGUUCCCUUAUUUACAUCACGUAUGAGGUAAUAAAUACAUCAUGUAUGAGGUGAGGCAAUGAAUCCACCCUGGAUGGAUGUGAAAACUCAUGCCUAAUAAAUGACCUACAAAUCCAAAUUCUAUGAAGCAAAAUUAAAAAAACAAAUUAUAAAAAUAGAAAGAAGUAAAAAACAAAAUAUUAUCGCAGACCCUUACCCCACAAAUCUUAAUAAUUCAUUUAUUUGUUUACAGCUAAUUUUUGGCAAUUUGUGGAGUGCAUGGAAACCACCCAUAAAUUCAUGUUACCAAACCCUUUUCUGAAACAAAUAUAACAUGUUUAGAGUUCAUUUGGUUGUUUGUCUGUAUUUUUUGGUUAGUUAAUUAAUUCGCUAUCAUAGUUUUCUCUUUUCUUUUUGUUUUUUUCCCUUUAAUGCUAUGAAAAAAGUAUAAAUUGAUUAAAGAAAAAGAGGGUACCACCACAUCCACUUUUUUUUCUUUCUAAAAUUUUGAUCUUAUCAAGAAAAUCGGUGUCGAUGAUAUAAUGAGUUUGUUAGUAGUAUUAAUUAUUUUUGAUAGAAAACUAUUUUGAGAUACCAUUUUGAUAAUUUGCUUUUUGUGAUAAGGGAAACAUGCAUCACCUAAAUUAUUCAUACUUCAAAAAUUAUUUCGAAAUUAAUUAAAUAACUCCUAAAAAUUUAUUCAAUCCCACGGUUAACUUAUCAUAAUAAUUUCCCACCGAGAAUUUAUAUUUAUUUUGGCCUAGGAAAUAUUCUAAAAUUAAUUAAACAAUUCCCCACAAUUAAUUCAAUUAUCAACCCAAAGAUUUAUUUACAAAACCCAAAUUCUCCACUUAUCUCUCAAAUUAAUAUUCUAAAGCCCCAAAACAAUUUAAGUGGAUUGGGCUCGGAUUUAUUUUGCAUAGCCUAUUGCUAAUUAUAUUCAUGGCCCAAAACCAAUUAAUUCAUUAGCCCAAGUAAAAUAAGCCCAAUUAAAACCCUAUGUAAAAAAAACUAAGUCUUCUUCCUCCCCCAUUCAUCAAUCUCACGACAGCAGCCCCUCUCCCUCCCCUCUCUCCCCCGUCGCCGCCGAUCCACCAGGGGCCGCCGGAGCGGCGGCGCUCCUUUCUCCCUCUCUUCUCCCCCUUCUCUCCCUCUCUCAGCCUCACGCCGUCGCGCCGCCAUCCCCCCCUCCGUCUUUCCAGAUUCGCCGCCGCCGUGCAUGCGCAGGCGGCGGCUUCGUCGUCCUUCUCCCGGCAGACCGGCCGUCUCCGGACAGCAGCGGAUCGGUGCUCCCUCUCUCCGUCGGUUCCUCUCUCUCUCUCUCGGCGACCAGCGCCGCCGCUCACUGUCGUCCGAUGUUCGGAGUGGCGAUUGCUGCUGUUCCGCAGUGACCGUGCAGCGAUUGCUGCUCCGCAGCCCGUCAGUCUCAACCUAAAGCUAAGUUCUCCUUCCCCCUUCCCCUUCUACUCAAUUAUUUGAGUUAUUACUGUAACUACGAGUGCAUCUAAGUUUCUAAGUUGAAAGUCCUGAAUAUUUGUGAUGUUUACACCUUGAUCUUGUAGGGAUUGAUUAUUGCUUUUGAUACUUGGGUGCUCAAAGUUUAGGGAUCGUACUGCUUAAUUCUAGCAGCCUAUAUUGCCAUGAAAAACUCAGUUUAAGCUCGUGGCUUUGAUGUAGGAAAACAAAUAACAUCCAUAGUCUUCCGUGAUGAUGUACCGGACUUUCUUGGAGUGCGAGCACGACCGUUGAACUGGCUGCGUGAACUUUUCUCUAAUUGUAAUAGAUAAGGAUUUGAUAAAUUUGUAUAAUAGUAAUUUAGCGGACUUCGGAGAUA